rnacentral:misc_RNA from 1 species
GAAAUGCGAUAAGUAAUGUGAAUUGCAGAAUUCAGUGAAUCAUCGAAUCUUUGAACGCACAUUGCGCCCGCCAGUAUUCUGGCGGGCAUGCCUGUUCGAGCGUCAUUUCAACCAUCAAGCCCCCGGCUUGUGUUGGGGACCUGCGGCUGCCCGCAGGCCCUGAAAAACAGUGGCGGGCUCGCUGUCACACCGAGCGUAGUAGCUUACAUUCUCGCUCAGGGCGUGCUGCGGGUUCCGGCCGUUAAACGACCUUCAUAACCCAAGGUUGACCUCGGAUCAGGUAGGAAGACCCGCUGAACUUAAGC